UACGAAGGGGGCUAGCGUUGUUCGGAAUUACUGGGCGUAAAGCGCACGUAGGCGGUGUUCUUUGUCAGAGGUGAAAGCCCGGGGCUCAACUCCGGAAUUGCCUUUGAAACGGGAACGCUAGAGUCCGAGAGAGGAUGGCGGAAUUCCUAGUGUAGAGGUGAAAUUCGUAGAUAUUAGGAAGAACACCGGUGGCGAAGGCGGCCAUCUGGCUCGGUACUGACGCUCAGGUGCGAAAGCGUGGGGAGCAAACAGG
rnacentral:rRNA from 1 species